rnacentral:lncRNA from 1 species
CCACACGCUCACAGUUUUAUUAUUGUGGCCGCAACUACAAGACACUGAAAACAGAAAGAGAAAAGAGAGUGGUGUGGGUUUUGUGGUUGGUUCAUCGUCGACUCUCAACUCGACAUGGCAACCCUUCCCUCCAUCCUCUCCCUCUCUUCCUCUCUCCCUCUCCACCGCUUCCGUCCCUCCCCUUCCCUCUCUUUCUCUCCUCUCCGUUUCUCCACAAAACCUCGUCCCCCCUUUCUCGUUCUCGCUUCUUCAUCACACGACGAAUUCACCUCCAAGG